rnacentral:rRNA from 1 species
GGGAAGGUUCGUCCGCCCUGGGUUAGUCGGGACCUAAGCUGAGGCCGAAAGGCGUAGGUGAUGGACAACAGGUUGAUAUUCCUGUACUACCGAUAACCGUUUGAGAGAAGGGAUGACACAGUAGGAUAAGCUAAGCACACUGUUGGUUAUGUGUGCCCAAGCAUUGAGGCAGUCAAAGUAGGCAAAUCCGCUUUGAUAAUGCUGGGAUGUGAUGGGGAGCGAAAUUUAGUAGCGAAGUAGCUGAUUUCACACUGUCAAGAAAAGUCUCUAUCGAGGUUAAAGGUACCCGUACCGCAAACCGACACAGGUGGGUGAGGAGAGUAUCCUAAGGCCAGCGAGAGAACUGUUGUUAAGGAACUCGGCAAAAUGACCCCGUAACUUAGGAUAAGGGGUGCCACCAUCAGGUGGCCGCAGAGAAUAGGCCCAAGCGACUGUUUACCAAAAACAUAGGUUUCUGCUAAGUCGCAAGACGAUGUAUAGGAGCUGACGCCUGCCCGGUGCUGGAAGGUUAAGGGGAUCUGUUAGAGCAAUCGAAGCAGUGAACUUAAGCCCCAGUAAACGGCGGCCGUAACUAUAACGGUCCUAAGGUAGCGAAAUUCCU